AUUGAACGCUGGCGGCAUGCUUUACACAUGCAAGUCGAACGGUAACAGGUUAAGCUGACGAGUGGCGAACGGGUGAGUAAUGCAUCGGAACGUGCCCGGUCGUGGGGGAUAACGCAGCGAAAGCUGCGCUAAUACCGCAUACGAUCUGAGGAUGAAAGCGGGGGACCGUAAGGCCUCGCGCGAUCGGAGCGGCCGAUGUCAGAUUAGGUAGGUGGUGGGGUAAAGGCUCACCAAGCCAACGAUCUGUAGCUGGUCUGAGAGGACGACCAGCCACACUGGGACUGAGACACGGCCCAGACUCCGACGGGAGGCAGCAGUGGGGAAUUUUGGACAAUGGGCGAAAGCCUGAUCCAGCAAUGCCGCGUGCAGGAAGAAGGCCUUCGGGUUGUAAACUGCUUUUGUACGGAGCGAAAAGGUCUCCUCUAAUACAGGGGGCUCAUGACGGUACCUGAAGAAUAAGCACCGGCUAACUACGUGCCAGCCGCCGCAGUAA
rnacentral:rRNA from 1 species